CCGGGAUCGGGUGGAUGGAGCUCAAUGAAUACUUGGAGCCAUAUGGUCUAUUCUUUCCCCUUGAUCCUGGGCCUGGUGCAACCAUUGGGGGGAUGUGUGCUACACGUUGCUCUGGUUCUUUAGCAGUCAGCAUGUAGGUAUGGAACAAUGCUUGAUAAUGUCAUCAAUCUCAGGUUGGU